rnacentral:rRNA from 1 species
AAAACUUUCAACAACGGAUCUCUUGGUUCCGGCAUCGAUGAAGAACGCAGCGAAAUGCGAUAAAUAAUGCGAAUUGCAGAAUUCAGUGAGUCAUCGAGUUUUUGAACGCACAUUGCGCCCUCUGGAAUUCCAGAGGGCAUACCUGUUCGAGCGUCAUU